ensembl:snRNA U6 U6 spliceosomal RNA
GUGCUUGCUUCGGCAGCACAUAUACUAAAAUUGGAAGGAUACAGAGAAGAUUAGCAUGGCCCCUGCAAAGGAUGACAUGGAAAUUUGUGAAGCAUUGCAUAUUUUU